GUGCCAUUAACUUUAAGUGAGGGAUUAAUUAGUGGCUAAUUUGGAUUGAUUUAAUCCAAUGGGCCCCACCACUCAAGGCAAAAAUUAAAAAGGGAUCAGAUUGUGGGCUGGCCUUAGUGGACAGGUGUAGAGGGGGGCUGCCUCCACUUCAUACUAUUAAAUGAGGUGGAGAAAUCCACUCCAUGCUAUAUAUAGUGGUGAAAUGCAUUGCUGCAUAUCAUCUUCUUCUUCACCACUUGUCUUAGGCAGCCAUGGAAAUGGAGAAACCAACCCUGCAACUCUUGGCCAGCAGCUGCAAAUAAUUUGAUUAAUAGCUUGAGCAGUAAAUAUUGGACGUGCGGCUCAAUUAUACGGUAUGUAACGCUGUCCCUUCUUUCUUUGCUUGGCAUGACUUUUAAAAUAAGCGAAUAACGGACAGAUUUGAUACUUACCUCUAAAGCGUCUAGGUGAUGUAUAUUCUUGCUUCCACAAUUAUUCCUCUAUAUAUCGGUUAUGUCUAAGGCUAUGAUGAUCUCUAAUAUCUAUGGUAAUGCUUCUUAGAGUCAUUGAAAUUUUACGUUUUCAUAUCAUAUUAAAGGUUCAUAAUCUUGAUAAAACAUUAAUCUUUGGUAAUACUCCUUGCUGGUUCACGUUGAUUGUUCUAUUGAGUUAUAAGAAAUGAUUUUAAUUGCAUAUGGUUGCUCAUAAUAUUCUGCUCGUGCAUAGAGUCAUUUAUCAUUUCACCGAGUCCCGGGCCGGGUAAUGUUCGUGCGGAGUUUCUUGCAUAUGUCACCGAGUUCCUCACUAGAGGGCCGGGUAUUUAUAUUAUAUAUAUGAUGGGUGAUGAGGAUGGUUAUGAUGAUGAUGAUGACGGAGAUGACGUGAUGAUUAUUUUGCCGAGCCCCUUACUAGGGAAGCUGGGCACCUUAAAUGUUAAAUAUAUGCAUGAUUUUCACUUAAAAAGUAUAUGUGUAGCGAUAUUUUGUUUCGACUUGCCACAUUGGUAUCCUGUCAUCUUUACCUUAUGCUUUACAUACUCAGUACAUUGUCCGUACUGGCCCCCCUUUCCUCGGGGGGCUGCGUUUCAUGCCCGCAGGUGUAGACGCGCAGUUCGGUGAUCCUCCCGCCUAGGAUAUCUACUCUGCUGAUUGGGAGAGCUCCACUGUUCCGGAGCCCAGUCGGUUUGGUACAUAACUUUUGUGUAGUCUUUUGCUCGUCUAUGGGUAUGGCGGGGCCCUGUCCCGUCGAGUUUCACUAAUGUACUCUUAGAGGUCUGUGGACAUUAUGUGGGUUGUAUAUAUAUGUUUUGGAUAAUGGUCUGGACAUGGUUUGUUUGGGAUGUCCGCCUUGUCGGCUGCGUACAUCAUUAUGCUUUGAAUAGUGGCGGCCUUGUCGGCUCGCGUAUGCUGUUAUGGUUGAAUGGUUAUGACUCCUUAUGAGACAGGUCCUCUUUAUAUAUAUAUGACGUUGGGGUUGGCUUGAUUUGAUUAAAUUCCAUAUUGUCUUAGUUUUAGUUGGUUAUACUUAGCAGGUUUGUAUGUGGGUGUCCAAAACGGGCACUAGUCACGGCCCAUCGGGUUGGGCCGUGACACUAUAAUAAGAAUUAGACAAUAUAAGCAACUCACCAAUUGACCAAGCCAUC
rnacentral:lncRNA from 1 species